CCACGAAUAGCUGGUGUCAUUCAAGUUUUUUUCCUAGUUUACGACGUAGUCAUGUAUAUUAUAUAAUAUGUUUAUAUUUCAAAUAAAUCAUGAUAUAGCUGUUUGAAAUGUUUGAAUAGGUUAAUCGCUUAAUUGUCAGCUUACAAUCAGCCUCAAUAUUUCGAGAAUAUAACUGUUAAUACCCAGUAAAUAAUAAUUUAACUACCUACUCAAUUACUCAAGUAAACAUAUUGUAAAAUAUUCAGCAGUCUUCAGCUCAGGAGGCCCUACGGUUAGGGUAACCAUAAUAUUUUUAGAUCAAAUAGGGACAUCAGUUCCGUUGCACAGAGGGGACAGAUGUUUGAAAUCCGGACUGUCUGAACGAAAUCCGGACGUAUGAUAAACCUACCUAUGGUCCUUAUUUUGAGCCAUCCCGGUAUUCAACAAGCUAGUGGAAACAGCGAGAUAAAGAAUGAAUAUAUAAUAUAGAUACACACAGUGGAAGUGGGUUUUUCAUAACGAUUCAAUAGAAAUUUUACACUAUUUUUAAUAUCAUUUAACCAUGGCGUGGCUGUACUUUAUGUGAUCGUUUCAAAACAGUCCAUCAAACGACUUAACAAAAAUUACAACAUAUGAACAAACAACUGUAUACUAUGGGGCCCAGAAUAUUAUGAGUUAUACUCAACUGUUGGCUUAUAGCAUUAUUUUAACCAAGAAACCAAGAAACUUAAGAGUUUUAGUUUUGCAAGAGUCUACGAGAGACUUAUGAAAUAAUUUAAUAGAAUGUUUACCAAAGUUUGAAUUAAGAGGUUUUAAGAAAAUUAAAGACUCGUGAAAUGUACAUAAUAUAUUCAUAAAUAUACAUAAACGAAUAUAAGUUAUAAGCAAUAAAUAUUAUGUAGUAUACCGUAUACAAGUACAUUGAAUAAACAA